AUAGGCUGUUCAGCAUCUCACGUGAUCGAGCUGUCAGCAUCCUGAGAGAGCUGUUGCUGCGAAAACUGUUCGGGAAGUAAUGAAUGAAACUGUCGGGACACUUGGAAGAGGGUCUUGCAGGGGAGCUAUAAGGAAUGGAGGGAGGAAACCUGUGAAUUGUGUUCUGGACCGUUCUUGAGUAUAGACGUUCAAGGGAGGAGUCAUAACAUUUAACACGAAAAACUCCUACAUAAACCUAGAACAAGAUGGAGAAAAAGAAUGAAUUGCCUUCACCACAGAAGCAGAGUGUCAAGAGUCGGUCAAAAUCCACAGAUGAGAUUGUGCAAGCAAAGAAGGCUUUUCACACACCUCAGAUAUCCCUGCCUGGAAGACCAGAACUGGAAAAGCUGAAGGAAGCUACUGAAAGUGAAGAAGUCCUUUCCACUUCAGAAGAUGAUGAAGCAUUAGCUGAGAAGGCUCAAAAUUGACCCAAAUUCCUCAAUAUCAUUGAGUAUUGAGUACACAAAACAUUUGACUGGGGACUUCGGCCACGGAUGAAUUAUGUAUCCAAGGUCCCUUCCAGCAAGUCACAGAAAUGUGGUUCCCAUAAUUUAAUGUUUACUUGUCACUGUAUAUCUUUAAUUGUGUCUGUGUCAGUAAUCAUGAUUAUUGAUUGUGUUGUCUGUGGUGGUGGGCAGUGUUUCUCUAAUCUUAUUUGGUAACUGUAUGCAAAAAUUAAAGUUGUAUUUGGUGAGUGAAUCUGCUAAACUGCACUGUCCUGGAGAAACAUGGUCAAAACUGUGUGCCACAAAUUAUCAUCCAAUACUUCAGUUAUUUCCCAGACAAUGGAUGAAUCAGCAACAUGGUCUUUAACAUUACAAAUCAAGGUAAUUUUUAACUCUCUGCCUAGUAGAGAGUCUUGCAUGCCACAAGCAAUACUUAGAAAUUCAAGGACCACUGCCUACAAAUUGCAGCUUAAGUGGUAAGAAAACUGUGCAGUGCCAUCCUGAACUUUAGAACUGGCCUCCUGCUAUACAGAGAUUUUUUUAGCCACUGAAAGUGACAAAAUGACUCCUGAAAUGUUUACAUUGUAAAUAAAUAAUCCUUGUUUUGAAUUUGAAAUUUCAUGUUCAUAUUCUGGGUUAUCUUGAUUCACUAUUUUCCACUAGAGAUUUUGCUAAAAAUGAACCUUCAUUAGUUAUGUUUUUAUUUAUUCUCUUUUUGUUGAUUAAUUCUGCUAUUUUUCCUCAGCUAUUCUAAGCUGUUCUGUAUUGAGUGAAUGCAGCCCAAACUAGUGCUAAUGAAGGGCCUCAGUACAAGACAUAAACUACUUAUCCCCCUCUGUCAAUGUUGCCCGAGUUUCUUCGCAAUCUGUGUAGUUUUGACAUAAAGAGAUACAAUGCUGUUACGUUGUCUGCAUUCUAAAAUAUAACCCUUUGUUGUUGUGCAGUGAAGUCAAGUUUAUUGUCAUUUAAUUAUAUACACGUAUAUUAUCAAAGGAGACAAUGUUUCUGCGAACCAGCGUGUAAACUCCAAACCACUAACAGCAUCAAUAAAAUUAGUGUUGCAUUCUUGUACGUUUUGUGCCUGUGCCAUGGGAAUAAAUUGAGUGACUUUGUUAUGUAGAU